CCUACGGGUGGCAGCAGUGGGGAAUAUUGCGCAAUGGGCGAAAGCCUGACGCAGCGACGCCGCGUGAGGGAUGAAGGUCUUCGGAUCGUAAACCUCUGUCAGCAGGGAAGAACGGUCACUGUGCUAAUCAGCAGUGAAUUGACGGUACCUGCAAAGGAAGCACCGGCUAACUCCGUGCCAGCAGCCGCGGUAAUACGGAGGGUGCGAGCGUUAAUCGGAAUUACUGGGCGUAAGGCGCUCGUAGGCGGUAUGUCAAGUCAAGGGUGAAAUCCCCGCGCUCACCGUGGGAACUGCCUUUGAAACGGGCAAACUGGAGUGUGUGAGAGGAUAGUGGAAUUCCAGGUGUAGGAGUGAAAGCCGUAGAUAUCUGGAGGAACAUCAGUGGCGAAGGCGACUAUCUGGCACAUAACUGACGCUGAGGAGCGAAAGCGUGGGUAGCAAACAGGAUUAGAUACCCCAGUAGUC
rnacentral:rRNA from 1 species